CAGAAAUUCAACUUGACUAGUUUUAGUAGAUGUCAUUUAUACAACAGGUCAAAUUUACGGUAUAUUUAUCUAAUGUUAUAAAUUGGAAAAUUUAAUUUUAUCUUAUGUAGCUUACACGUUUAACUGAAGAAGAGCAUGUGCCAUGCUGGCAGAGAGAAUAAAUAAUGGGUGAAAAAACUAGUGCCAUUGGUAAGAAAAUAAU